UUUAAAAAUCAAAUGUAAUGUAUUCUUUAUUUAUUUAAAAUAAUAACGGCUUAAUAACUUCACAGAUAAAGAAAAAAAUUUUGUUCCAUUAAUAAUACAUCGAUGAGUAAAAUUUUUAAGAAUUACAAUUUUUAUUGUCAUAACAGUUGUUAUAAACGAUAAUGUUAUAUUGAUAUAACAUAAUAAUAAUAAAAAUUCACGGAACUGUAAUUAAAUCCAUAUUCAGCGAAAAAAUUUCACGUUCAAUAACAUAUAUAAUAACAUAUACAAGCAAAAAUUUCCUAGUAAAUUUGAAGGACUUUACGGUUUGUAUUGUAACGCGAUCGUUCGUUCGCACGCUCAGUCUCGUCGUGACUCUCGAUUAGUGCGCGUCUUUUUGUUUAAUCGCUCGAGAAUCUGAAACGUGAUUUAACGGUCGUGUGCAUUCGCGAAUUUGAUGUGGGUGGUUGCGAAUAUGGGUGGUUUAGGCGUAGAUUAAUAUCAUAUGCUAAUGUUGAUUUUACGUUGUCUGUUAGCAUACACGCGUGGGUUCCUAGUGUUUUUCUACGUGUAUCUACGUAUGUCCAGUGAUGAUCAAGAUUAGUUACCAGUGCGUGACCUCGUGUGUAUGUUUAAGAACGAAUUAUAAAUUUUCGUAUGGUAGUCUCUCGACAUAUAUUUACUGUAGAUAGACGAAACGCGAAACUCUUGGUCCGCUAUUGUCACUUACCACGCUGCCAAAUGGGCGUGCUGGCCGGAUUGCUGUCCACCUCGCAUUUCAAGCUGACGGACAUCCCCUCGACGAUCGGGAUUCCAAAACCAG